rnacentral:rRNA from 1 species
ACGAACGCUGGCGGCGUGCUUCACACAUGCAAGUCGAACGGAAAGGCCCUGCUUUUGUGGGGUGCUCGAGUGGCGAACGGGUGAGUAACACGUGAGUAACCUGCCCUUGACUUUGGGAUAACUUCAGGAAACUGGGGCUAAUACCGGAUAGGAGCUCCUGCUGCAUGGUGGGGGUUGGAAAGUUUCGGCGGUUGGGGAUGGACUCGCGGCUUAUCAGCUUGUUGGUGGGGUAGUGGCUUACCAAGGCUAUGACGGGUAGCCGGCCUGAGAGGGUGACCGGCCACAUUGGGACUGAGAUACGGCCCAGACUCCUACGGGAGGCAGCAGUGGGGAAUAUUGCACAAUGGGCGGAAGCCUGAUGCAGCAACGCCGCGUGCGGGAUGACGGCCUUCGGGUUGCAAACCGCUUUCGCCUGUGACGAAGCGUGAGUGACGGUAAUGGGUAAAGAAGCACCGGCUAACUACGUG